UCCGAUGGAUCCAAAGGAUCCGAUGGAUCCAAAGGAUCCGAUGGAUCCAAAGGAUCCGAUGGAUCCAAAGGAUUAAAAGGAUCCGAUGGAUCCAAAGGAUCCGAUGGAUCGAAAGGAUCCGAUGGAUCCAAAGGAUCCGAUGGAUCCAAAGGAUCCGAUGGAUCCAAAGGAUCCGAUGGAUCCAAAGGA
rnacentral:sRNA from 1 species